GGAAAGUCCGGGCUCCCUAAAGACCAGGCUUGCUGGAUAACGCCCAGUGCGAGUGAUCGUGAGGAUAGUGCCACAGAAAAAUACCGCCCUGUUGAUCAGGGUAAGGGUGCAAAGGUGCGGUAAGAGCGCACCAGCAGUGUCGUGAGGCACUGGCUCGGUAAACCCCGGCUGGGAGCAAGGUUGGAGGGAUAAUGGUUGGUCUUUUUCCAGUUCCGUUGCGUUCAUAGAUUCAUCUAUGAUGCUAGGUAUACCGCAAGAGGUGUCUGGUAACAGACAUCCCAGAUAGAUAACU
rnacentral:RNase_P_RNA from 1 species